rnacentral:pre_miRNA from 1 species
AGACGAAUCACCUGGGGAUCUUGUUAAGAAGCAGAUACUGAUUCAUUAUGUCUGCGAUGGGGCCUGGCAUCUGCAUUUCUAACAAACUCCCAGGUGGUGUCCCU